AUUGAACGCUGGCGGCAUGCCUUACACAUGCAAGUCGAACGGCAGCGGGGGAGAAGCUUGCUUUUCCUGCCGGCGAGUGGCGAACGGGUGAGUAAUACAUCGGAACGUGCCCUGUAGUGGGGGAUAACUAGUCGAAAGAUUAGCUAAUACCGCAUACGACCUGAGGGUGAAAGUGGGGGACCGCAAGGCCUCAUGCUAUAGGAGCGGCCGAUGUCUGAUUAGCUAGUUGGUGGGGUAAAGGCCUACCAAGGCGACGAUCAGUAGCUGGUCUGAGGGGACGGUCAGCCACACGGGGCCGCAGACACGGCCCAGACUCCUACGGGAGGCAGCAGUGGGGAAUUUUGGACAAUGGGGGCAACCCUGAUCCAGCCAUUCCGCGUGAGUGAAGAAGGCCUUCGGGUUGUAAAGCUCUUUUGUCCGGAGCGAAACGGUUAGGUCGAAUAAGCCUGACUACUGACGGUACCGGAAGAAUAAGCACCGGCUAACUACGUGCCAGCCGCCGCCGUAACAC
rnacentral:rRNA from 1 species